CAAUAGCGUAUAUUUAAGUUGUUGCAGUUAAAAAGCUCGUAGUUGGAUUUCGGAUGGGACUUGCCGGUCCGUCGUUUCGAUGUGCACUGGCCAGUCCUAUCUUGUUGUCGGGGACUAGCUCCUGGGCUUCACUGUCCGGGACUAGGAGCUGACGAGGUUACUUUGAGUAAAUUAGAGUGUUCAAAGCAAGCUUACGCUCUGAAUAUAAUAGCAUGGGAUAACACGACAGGACUCUGGCCUAUCGUGUUGGUCUAUAGGACCAGAGUAAUGAUUAAGAGGGACAGUCGGGGGCAUUCGUAUUCCGUUGUCAGAGGUGAAAUUCUUGGAUUUACGGAAGACGAACAUCUGCGAAAGCAUUUGCCAAGGAUGUUUUCAUUGA
rnacentral:rRNA from 1 species